UGGUGCCCAGUCUCCCGCCACCCGCGAGGUGGCAUGCGCUGUUCUCUCGGAACCUUCCAGAGAAACCGCGGCCCCUGCUUUCCUUUCUCCCGCCCUGGACGGGGAGGGACCGGAGUCUCCGCCCCGCCGAGUUCCCGCGCGGGAGGGACUUUGCGGCGACUCUGAAGCGGAAGCUGCUUGUAGGAGGAGCUUUACAAACCCAAAAUGGAGCGGAAACUAGGUUCCCCUUCCCCUUCACCCACGAGUGGAAACAGCCUGAGGCCCUCCCCAGAAGCAGCUGCUGGUACCGUGCUUCUUGUACAGCCUGUAGAACUUUGAGCCAAUCUCACUGUGUCACCCAGGCGGCAGUGCAGUGGCGCAGUCUCCACUUACUGCAUCCUCC